CAGUAGCCGCGGUAAAACGUAGGGUGCAAGCGUUAAUCGGAAUUACUGGGCGUAAAGCGUGCGCAGGCGGUUAUAUAAGACAGAUGUGAAAUCCCCGGGCUCAACCUGGGAACUGCAUUUGUGACUGUAUAGCUAGAGUACGGCAGAGGGGGAUGGAAUUCCGCGUGUAGCAGUGAAAUGCGUAGAUAUGCGGAGGAACACCGAUGGCGAAGGCAAUCCCCUGGGCCUGUACUGACGCUCAUGCACGAAAGCGUGGGGAGCAAACAGGAUUAGAUACCCGAGUAGUCCCUGUCUCUUAUAC
rnacentral:rRNA from 1 species